AGCACACCAUCUCCCUGCUGCAGGUUUAGAGGACCAGUGAGUUGGGAGUUAUUACUCAAGUGGCACCUAGAAGGGCAGGAGUUCCUUUGGUGACUUCACAGUGAAGUCUUGCCCUCUCUGUGGGAUAUCACAUCAGUGGUUCCAAGAUUUCAAAGUGGUGAAAUGAAAAUGGAGCAGCUAGUAUGUUUUAUUAUUUUAUGGGUCUUGAGUGCAUUUGAAGGUG
rnacentral:lncRNA from 1 species